rnacentral:tRNA from 1 species
CGUUUUCGUAAGUGUUUGAUUUAGAGGGGUUUGUAUUUUUUGGCCUUUGGCCUCCGGAGCCAAAGGUUGCAGGUUCGAAUCCUGCCGGGGACGA